CUACGGGGGGCACCAGUGGGGAAUAUUGGACAAUGGGGGAAACCCUGAUCCAGCAAUGCCGCGUGUGUGAAGAAGGCCUGCGGGUUGUAAAGCACUUUCGGUUGGGAGGACUGCUUCUAGCACUAAUAUUGUUGGAAGUUGACGUUACCUUCAGAAGAAGCACCGGCUAACUCCGUGCCAGCAGCCGCGGUAAUACGGGGGUGCCAGCGUUAAUCGGAAUUACUGGGCGUAAAGCGCGCGUAGGCGGCUAGAUCAGUCGGGUGUGAAAGCCCCGGGCUUAACCUGGGAACUGCAUCCGAUACUGUCUAGCUUGAGUACAGGAGAGGAGAGUGGAAUUCCACAUGUAGCGGUGAAAUGCGUAGAUAUGUGGAGGAACACCAAUGGCGAAGGCAGCUCUCUGGCCUGAUACUGACGCUGAGGUGCGAAAGCGUGGGGAGCAAACAGGAUUAGAUACCCCAGUAGUC
rnacentral:rRNA from 1 species